AUUGAACGCUGGCGGCAUGCUGUACACAUGCAAGUCGAACGAGGGGCGAACGGGUGAGUAAUAUAUCGGAACGUACCGAGUAAUGGGGGAUAACCAAUCGAAAGAUUGGCUAAUACCGCAUAUUAUUCGAGCGGCCGAUAAAGGAUGAGCUAGUUGGUGGGGUAAAGGCCUCCCAAGGCGACGAUCAGUAGCGGUUCUGAGAGGACGACACGCCACACUGGGACUGAGACACGGCCCAGACUCCUACGGGAGGCAGCAGUGGGGAAUUUUGGACAAUGGGGGCAACCCUGAUCCAGCCAUGCCGCGUGUAUGAAGAAGGCCUUCGGGUUGUAAAGUACUUUUGUUAGGGAGGCGGUACCUAAAGAAGAAGCACAGGCUAACUACGGGCCAGCAGCCGCGGUAAUUC
rnacentral:rRNA from 1 species